rnacentral:misc_RNA from 1 species
AAGUCGUAACAAGGUUUCCGUAGGUGAACCUGCGGAAGGAUCAUUAUUGAAUAAACUUGGUGUGGUUGUUGCUGGUCCUUUCGGGGGCAUGUGCACACCCAUCAUCUUUAACUUUCCACCUGUGCACAUUUUGUAGGUCAAAAAUUUUUCCCGAGACACGCGUUUCGUGGAAUAGGUUUUUGCCUAUGUUUUCAUAUACACCAUAAGAAUGUAACAGAAUGUAUCAAUGGGCUUCAUGCCUAUAAACUAUAUACAACUUUCAGCAACGGAUCUCUUGGCUCUC